UGUUUCAAGAAAUUCAGAAAU
rnacentral:piRNA from 1 species